rnacentral:rRNA from 1 species
AGAAUCAACGCUGGCGGCGUGCCUAACACAUGCAAGUCGCACGAGAAAGGGGAGCAAUCCCUGAGUAAAGUGGCGCACGGGUGAGUAACACGUGAAUAAUCUACCUCCGAGUGGGGAAUAACUGAGAGAAAUCUUAGCUAAUACCGCAUAACACUUACGAGUCAAAGCAGCAAUGCGCUUGGAGAGGAGUUCGCGGCCGAUUAGUUAGUUGGCGGGUAAUGGCCCACAAGACGAUGAUCGGUA